CCUACGGGGGGCAGCAGUGGGGAAUAUUGCACAAUGGGCGAAAGUCUGAUGCAGCAACGCCGCGUGAAGGAAGACGGUUUUCGGAUUGUAAACUUCUGUUUUUAGUGAAGAAUAAUGACGGAUACUAAGGAGCAAGCAACGGCUAACUACGUGCGAGCAGCCGCGGUAAUACGUAGGUGGGAAGCGUUGUCCGGAAUUACGGGGUGUAAAGGGAGCGUAGGCGGGCAGCUAAGUCAGCUGUGAAAGCUACGGGCUUAACCUGUAGACUGCAGUUGAAACUGGCUUUCUUGAGUGAAGUAGAGGUUGGCGGAAUUCCUGGUGUAGCGGUGAAAUGCGUAGAUAUUCGGAGGAACACCGAUUGCGAAGGCGGCCAACUGGGCUUUAACUGACGCUGAGGCUCGAAAGUGUGGGGAGCAAACAGGAUUAGAUACCCUGGUAGUC
rnacentral:rRNA from 1 species